GACGAACGCUGGCGGCGUGCUUAACACAUGCCAGUCGAACGGAAAGGCUCCAGCUUGCUGGAGUACUCGAGUGGCGAACGGGUGAGUAACACGUGGGUAAUCUGCCCUGCACUCUGGGAUAAGCCUGGGAAACUGGGUCUAAUACUGGAUAUGACCUUUCUCCUUAUGGGGUGUGGUGGAAAGUUUUUCGGUGUAGGAUGGGCCCGCGGCCUAUCAGCUUGUUGGUGGGGUGAUGGCCUACCAAGGCGACGACGGGUAGCCGGCCUGAGAGGGUGAUCGGCCACAUUGGGACUGAGAUACGGCCCAGACUCCUACGGGAGGCAGCAGUGGGGAAUAUUGCACAAUGGGCGGAAGCCUGAUGCAGCGACGCCGCGUGAGGGAUGACGGCCUUCGGGUUGUAAACCUCUUUCAGCAGGGACGAAGCGUAAGUGACGGUACCUGCAGAAGAAGCACCGGCUAACUAUGUG
rnacentral:rRNA from 1 species